rnacentral:rRNA from 1 species
GACGUAGGGGACGAGCGUUGUUCGGAUUUACUGGGCGUAAAGGGCGCGUAGGCGGUCAGCACAAGUCAGUUGUGAAAUCUCCGAGCUUAACUCGGAAAGGUCAACUGAUACUGUGCGACUAGAGUGCGGAAGGGGCAACUGGAAUUCUUGGUGUAGCGGUGAAAUGCGUAGAUAUCAAGAGGAACACCUGCGGCGAAGGCGGGUUGCUGGGCCGACACUGACGCUGAGGCGCGAAAGCUAGGGGAGCGAACGGG